rnacentral:rRNA from 1 species
GAUGAACGCUGGCGGCGUGCCUAAUACAUGCAAGUCGAGCGAACGGACGAGAAGCUUGCUUCUCUGAUGUUAGCGGCGGACGGGUGAGUAACACGUGGAUAACCUACCUAUAAGACUGGGAUAACUUCGGGAAACCGGAGCUAAUACCGGAUAAUAUUUUGAACCGCAUGGUUCAAAAGUGAAAGACGGUCUUGCUGUCACUUAUAGAUGGAUCCGCGCUGCAUUAGCUAGUUGGUAAGGUAACGGCUUACCAAGGCAACGAUGCAUAGCCGACCUGAGAGGGUGAUCGGCCACACUGGAACUGAGACACGGUCCAGACUCCUACGGGAGGCAGCAGUAGGGAAUCUUCCGCAAUGGGCGAAAGCCUGACGGAGCAACGCCGCGUGAGUGAUGAAGGUCUUCGGAUCGUAAAACUCUGUUAUUAGGGAAGAACAUAUGUGUAAGUAACUGUGCACAUCUUGACGGUACCUAAUCAGAAAGCCACGGCUAACUACGUGCCAGCAGCCGCGGUAAUACGUAGGUGGCAAGCGUUAUCCGGAAUUAUUGGGCGUAAAGCGCGCGUAGGCGGUUUUUUAAGUCUGAUGUGAAAGCCCACGGCUCAACCGUGGAGGGUCAUUGGAAACUGGAAAACUUGAAUGCAGAAGAGGAAAGUGGAAUUCCAUGUGUAGCGGUGAAAUGCGCAGAGAUAUGGAGGAACACCAGUGGCGAAGGCGACUUUCUGGUCUGUAACUGACGCUGAUGUGCGAAAGCGUGGGGAUCAAACAGGAUUAGAUACCCUGGUAGUCCACGCCGUAAACGAUGAGUGCUAAGUGUUAGGGGGUUUCCGCCCCUUAGUGCUGCAGCUAACGCAUUAAGCACUCCGCCUGGGGAGUACGACCGCAAGGUUGAAACUCAAAGGAAUUGACGGGGACCCGCACAAGCGGUGGAGCAUGUGGUUUAAUUCGAAGCAACGCGAAGAACCUUACCAAAUCUUGACAUCCUUUGACAACUCUAGAGAUAGAGCCUUCCCCUUCGGGGGACAAAGUGACAGGUGGUGCGUGGUUGUCGUCAGCUCGUGUCGUGAGAUGUUGGGUUAAGUCCCGCAACGAGCGCAACCCUUAAGCUUAGUUGCCAUCAUUAAGUUGGGCACUCUAAGUUGACUGCCGGUGACAAACCGGAGGAAGGUGGGGAUGACGUCAAAUCAUCAUGCCCCUUAUGAUUUGGGCUACACACGUGCUACAAUGGACAAUACAAAGGGCAGCGAAACCGCGAGGUCAAGCAAAUCCCAUAAAGUUGUUCUCAGUUCGGAUUGUAGUCUGCAACUCGACUACAUGAAGCUGGAAUCGCUAGUAAUCGUAGAUCAGCAUGCUACGGUGAAUACGUUCCCGGGUCU